UACGUAGGAGGCGAGCGUUGUCCGGAGUUACUGGGCGUAAAGCGCACGCAGGCGGUCGCAUCAGCUGGGGUGACAGUUCCCGGCUUAACCGGAAAAGGACUCUGGAAACUGUGCGACUUGAGGGCUUCAGAGGGAUGUGGAAUUCCAGGUGGAGUGGUGAAAUGCGUAGAGAUCCGGAGGAACCCCAGAGGCGAAGGCGGCGCCCUGGCUCGCAACUGACGCUCAGACACGACAGCAUGGGGAGCGAACGGG
rnacentral:rRNA from 1 species